GACCGCGUGGCGUAAUGGAUAAGGUACUGACUUGGGAUCAGAAGAUUGGGGGUUCGAGUCCCUUCGUGGUCG
rfam:Nematostella vectensis strain CH2 x CH6 NEMVEscaffold_44_Cont7093, whole genome shotgun sequence.